rnacentral:rRNA from 1 species
UACGUAGGGUGCAAGCGUUAAUCGGAAUUACUGGGCGUAAAGCGCACGCAGGCGGUUUGUUAAGUCAGAUGUGAAAUCCCCGGGCUCAACCUGGGAACUGCAUUUGAUACUGGCAAGCUUGAGUCCCGUAGAGGGAGGUAGAAUUCCAGGUGUAGCGGUGAAAUGCGUAGAGAUCUGGAGGAAUACCGGUGGCGAAGGCGGCCCCCUGGUCGGAGACUGACGCUCAGGUGCGAAAGCGUGGGGAGCAAACAGG